ACGGGAGGAAAACCUCACACUUCCUUCCGUCUACCCGAGUCGCCCGAAAAGCCCAGCACUUUCUUCCCUUCCGAUUUCGCACGAUGGCGACUCUCCUCCGCCGAUCCGCCGCCCCCGCGCGGCAUCUUCUCCUCCUUCCCCGCCAGCUCGGCGCCGCCCGGUCCAUGUCCCGCUACUACGCCCGUGACGAGGUUUCACGGUUCGACGCGCUGAGCACGCCGGUGAACUGGGGCGUGAGCAUCGUGCCGGAGAAGAAGGCCUUCGUGAUUGAGCGCUUCGGCAAGUAUCUCAAGACGCUCGACUCCGGGAUCCACGGGCUCGUCCCCCUCGUCGACCGCAUCGCCUACGUGCACUCUCUCAAGGAGGAAGCCAUCCCCAUCCCCGACCAGUCCGCUAUCACCAAGGAUAACGUGGUCAUCCAGAUCGACGGCGUCCUCUACGUCAAGAUUGUUGAUCCCUACCGUGCUUCAUAUGGCGUGGAGAAUCCCAUUUUUGCAGUCAUUCAACUUGCGCAGACAACUAUGAGAAGUGAGCUUGGAAAGAUAACCUUGGACAAGACUUUUGAAGAGAGGGACACAUUGAAUGAGAAGAUUGUGAGGUCCAUAAAUGAGGCUUCGACAGACUGGGGCUUGAAGUGUCUUCGUUAUGAGAUCAGGGACAUUUCUCCUCCACCGGGCGUGAAGAAUGCUAUGGAGAUGCAAGCAGAGGCAGAAAGGAGAAAGCGUGCUCAAAUUCUCCAGUCAGAAGGGGCUAUGUUGGAUCAGGCAAACCGCGCCAAGGGUGAGGCUGAAGCGAUUCUUUCCAAGUCACAAGCUACGGCCGAAGGGAUUAGAAUGGUCUCAGAGUCCAUGAGAGCUGAAGGCAGUGCUGAGGCUGCAAAACUGAGAAUUGCUGAACAGUACAUCACAGCAUUUGCUGCUCUGGCCAAGAAUACCACGACAAUGCUUCUUCCAAGCGAUGCUGGCAACCCAUCAUCUAUGAUAGCCCAGUCUCUCCAGAUAUACAAGCAUAUAAGCCAGUCCAGCAGCCUGAAAGGAGGGAACCAACAGGCAGAAGAAGUUGAGGAAGCAGGACCGCAAGAAGAGGGCGAUACGUUCGGCCUGCCUUCUGUGACCAGCGCGAUGCCACCCAGCACGCAAACAGGCCAUGGCAGCACGUUCUCCCUGCAGAAGCGUAAAGAAUGAUCAGCCUGUUCAAGUACCGAAGGGAACCCUUUUUAGAUAGGAGGGUGUCACUGAAAACACCAGCAGCAUUUGAGGCGCCAAAUGCAAAGGAGGCUAGGCGACUGGGGAGAUUUUGACGGCAGCCUGCAAGACUUGUGUAAUGCAAGUAUAUCGCUCACGAUGCCAGCAUACUCUUGAUGGCAAUAUUUCACUGCAGCCUUUUAUUCGUGUGUUCCGAUGUCAGUUUUACAUGUUCACAGUUUGCAUGCCGUCCUACUCUAUUUACUUCUGCAAUGGUUUUACUCUGGAUUUUCGUUCUUAGCAGUAAGUCUCUGGAUUUUCGUUGAGAAUCCGUGGCAAGAUUUCUCUACGGAUUUGGAUUCUACCAAUGAUUGGCCAUUUGGAAAGGAAAACGCUUGGUUUCU
rnacentral:rRNA from 1 species